UUUGAGUAAGUUGUUAAACUUAUUUCCAUUGGACGAAUACUGACCUAGAUAAUAAUUUUUUUCUGCGCAUGCGCAUACGUUUAUCUACAGUCUCAGUCCUUCAUACUAUCACUAUCAUUGCCAGUAGCAAGUCGAUUUGAAUAUACUCUAAAAAUUUUUUUUUUUUUUUUGCAUUAAAUAAAAACCGUAAUCAAAAUGGUCAGAAACAUUUUUCAUUUUGAUAAAAUGAAACGCUUUAAUUCACUAAAAAGGAUUCGUUCUACGAAACGUAAAGAGUCAAAUGAUUAUAGCGUAGCUGUUGAUCUUCUAGAGCCUGCAACUGAAGUGACCAACAGCCAUGAAAAAUCACAGGACUAUUUUAUAUCAGAACACAAGUUCUUCAGGUACAAAACCUGAGAUGUGGCUACAACGACUGGAUCCUUUAUGCUGGUGUUCAUGACAACAUCUUGCCUUUUCUACUAGCUGCAGUUUCAUGUGGACAAAGUGGGUGCUAUAACAUAUCAAUGUAUUUAAAGCAUGCCUGUAUAGUUUAAAGAAAACAUACUCAAAAUGGCAUCUUGUAGAAAGCCUGUAAUGUGGCUGUGGUGAAGAUUCCUACUACGUGAUUGA